rnacentral:rRNA from 1 species
CUUGAAACUGGGAGACUUGAGUGCAGGAGAGGAGAGUGGAAUUCCUAGUGUAGCGGUGAAAUGCGUAGAUAUUAGGAGGAACACCAGUUGCGAAGGCGGCGCUCUGGACUGUAACUGACGCUGAGGCACGAAAGCGUGGGGAGCAAACAGGAUUAGAUACCCUGGUAGUCCACGCUGUAAACGAUGAGUACUAGGUGUCGGGGGUUACCCCCUUCGGUGCCGCAGCUA